GACCCCAUGGCAUGUGGUAUGCAACCGCGCUCACUCAAUAUUUCGAUGUUUGUUCUUGCAGCGGAAGGACCCGGUUCGACUCCUGGCGGGGUCA